GGAAGCCAACAAACCUACUGAUAUAUUAGCAUCCAGGAGUUAUAGUGUUGAUGCAAUACACGAGUUCAACUCUUUCUUUGAUCUCCCGAGGGAAGUUAGGGGAUUAAUUAACACAGAUAGAUAGGAGUUCCCUUCCUUCAGAAUGCAACAGGUUAAACCUUCUAAUUUUAUUUACGAACCCCCCUGAAUCCUCUUUGUCAAGGAGUCACGUUAGUAGGGUAAUAGCUAACUUAGACUCCCCCCCUUCUUUUGGUGUUAACUUGUAGAGUUUAUCUAACUCUAGUUCUACCCCAAGAUCUUGUAUUAAGUUUGGUAUACCAAACUUCAAAAUGUAACUUUUUCAUAUCAAUGAUCAUUGGAGGCAGUUAAAAAAAA
rnacentral:lncRNA from 1 species